rnacentral:rRNA from 1 species
AUUGAACGCUGGCGGCAGGCUUAACACAUGCAAGUCGAGCGGAGAUGAGGUGCUUGCACCUUAUCUUAGCGGCGGACGGGUGAGUAAUGCUUAGGAAUCUGCCUAUUAGUGGGGGACAACAUUCCGAAAGGAAUGCUAAUACCGCAUACGUCCUACGGGAGAAAGCAGGGGAUCUUCGGACCUUGCGCUAAUAGAUGAGCCUAAGUCGGAUUAGCUAGUUGGUGGGGUAAAGGCCUACCAAGGCGACGAUCUGUAGCGGGUCUGAGAGGAUGAUCCGCCACACUGGGACUUGGACACGGCCCCGACUCCUACGGGAGGGAGCAGUGGGGAAUAUUGGACAAUGGGGGGAACCCUGAUCCAGCCAUGCCGCGGGUGUGAAGAAGGCCUUAUGGUUGUAAAGCACUUUAAGCGAGGAGGAGGCUACUGAGACUAAUACUCUUGGAUAGUGGACGUUACUCGCAGAAUAAGCACCGGCUAACUCUGUGCCAGCCGCCGCCGUAAUAC